AUCCAGCUGACGAGUCCCAAAUAGGACGAAGUGUUGUGCGUCCUGGAU
rnacentral:hammerhead_ribozyme from 1 species